AGAAUGGAGGCUAGUGAACCUACCUAUUCACCUAUGUUCAGACUUAGAUUAGCUGUGGUGAGUGUGUAAAGGAAUCCUCAGGAGCCAGAGGAACCGAGAUCGCCUUGCGAGUGUUUCUGCUCUAGUUCCAAUUCUUUCCCUUUCUAACAGAAGUAUCCAUCCUUUUCCAUCUGCUCUACCUUCUCCGCCCAACGUCUCUAAAACUCAGCCUGAUUCCUGACUCCAAUCUGAAUCUGGUCUUCAUUACACUACCAGCUUAUCUCCCAAAGAAAGCAUCAUCACCCACCUUAAAGCACCCUUGCCCUAGCCCAUGAUCAAUGGCAGGACAUCUGGGCGUGGCACCUACAAGGACAGAGUACAUGGCAGGCAGUAGCCCAGUCCCAUCUUGGCAUCUCCUGCUUCCGUCUCAGGGCAGGGCUGGGCUCCAAGGACAUAUAAAUUCCAGAGUAAGGAGGAGGAGGCAGUCACUUCUCUCCUUCCCAAAGCAGAGCUGGUGGAGGAAAGCAGAGCAGCUGCUGCUCCUCCUCCUCCUCAGCCUCCAGGAUGAACUGUGAUCGCUGUGGGCGUUGGGCCUUUCUAGGCGUGAGGUCAAUGGUCCCUCUCCUGCUCCUCUGUCUCCAUCUGCAAGGAUCAUCUUCCAGAUGCAUCGAUGUGGUCCUUGGGCAAGACCUGCAGCCGCUGCCUCCUGGUGUCCAGCGGUGUUCUUUGCCCAGAGGGCUGCUCCAGCCCGAUGUCUCUCCACCUGGCCAGGGAGAAGAUUCCGUCGACGGGGGGGACAGCCGCAUUGUGGGGGGCAGUCCCGCAACGUCCGGAGGCAGUUCUCCGACAGACCGCCCCACUUCACAAGGGGACAGUGCAUUCCAGUAUGGAAAACCAGGCAGGCCAGGACAACACGGCAAACCAGAGGAGGCUGUAUAUGGGGGGCGGCCUGUUCAGUAUGGAAGACCUAAAGACCCUGGCCCAUAUGGGAGCAGGCCUCAGUAUGGUCCUGGCCCCGUACAAUAUGGCCGACCAGGAAGUUCUGUUCCGUAUGGGGCUGACCAAUAUGGUGGCGGCCCCUACGAUGGGUCAAAUACUGGUUACGGCAUCAGGGUUAACCCCCCUCGGGUAGAAUGGAAGAACCCGGGUAUCCCCUAUAUCCCAUCUCCUCAGGAGCUGGGUGGUGGCUACAUCCCGUUACCAAAGAGGUCCCCUCAGUAUAAUCCCAAUGGACCAUAUGCAGUUCCGUACGGAGGUGGUGGUCGUCAGUACCCUUCAGCCUAUGGUGGGGAGUCUGCGGAAUCAGGCCCCAGAGGCAGAUAUGAUGGCAGCUACGGUCCCAUCCCAGAAAGCUUGCAACCUGGUGGUGGACAACGUGGCAGAUACAGCAAGGAUCAAGAUCCCCCUUGCAUUCCAAACUGUUAAGUGGGGGGGGGGCAGAUUGGCCUAGAUCAGGGUAAGCAGGCUGGGAGAUGCUGGCACUUGUGGUCUAAAAAGGAAACUUUUUCUGAUCCCUGGCUGGGAGCAAUGGGAAUUUAAAACAUCUGGAAGGGGCCAUAUUAUCCCUUCUGGCAACUCAUGGUGGAUAGGAUGCCUAUGCCUGUUUCCAUCUCCCAGGAAGGAACUAUGAGACCGCAGGACAGAGUGGAUGGGGGAAUCAAGAGGUGACUAUAUUGCCCCUUUUGCAGAAUGUAACCUAGACCAAUGUUCUCCCGAAAUUAGGAAAUCAGUCUAUUAGAGCUGCUGGAUAGCUCAGUUGUUUAGGUCUCUGGAUGUAGAGCCAGAGGUUGGCAGUUCAAUUCCCCACUGGGCCUCCUUGAGAGAAGUUGUACGUGAUGAUCCAAAGUGUCCCUUCCGCUUUGCAGUUCAAAGGUUAUUAUUAUUAUUAUUCAAACAAUUUUUAAAAAUAUGCUGGAUCUAGUGCAGUACAUUAUUAUUAUUAUUAUUAUUAUUAUUCACACAGUUUUUAAAAAUAUGCUGGAUCUAGUACAGUAUAGUAGGACUCCUUAACUGUAUCCACUGAUUCACUUAUCCACAGUCUGAAAAAUAUUAAAAGUAAAAUCCCCUCCCCAAUAUAUAUUUUUAAUGAUGAAGUUACUAGAACUGGUCACUAGAGUGAGCCAGAGACCAUGCCAUGUAGAGCAUUCGCCAUACGGAGCCAGAGACCAUGCCAUGUAUAGCAUUCGCCAUACAUGUCUCACUCUGCCAAGGUGGGGAGACAUCAACUUGUUCACUAGAAUUUACAUUUUUCAGCAUUGGGAUGGCGGCAGCAGGUGGCAGCUUGGAACUCAUCCCUCGUGGAUACAGGAUUCCUACUGUAUUACAAAAUAAAAUGGGUUCAAAAUUUACUGUUAUGAUUCCC
ensembl:lncRNA